rnacentral:rRNA from 1 species
ACGCUCGACACCUACGGGAGGCAGCAGUGAGGAAUAUUGGUCAAUGGGCGCUAGCCUGAACCAGCCAAGUAGCGUGAAGGAUGAAGGCUCUAUGGGUCGUAAACUUCUUUUAUAUAAGAAUAAAGUGCAGUAUGUAUACUGUUUUGUAUGUAUUAUAUGAAUAAGGAUCGGCUAACUCCGUGCCAACAGCCGAGGUAAUCUGAGCGGGCUGGCAAGGC